rnacentral:rRNA from 1 species
AACGAACGCUGGCGGCAUGCCUAACACAUGCAAGUCGAACGAGACCUUCGGGUCUAGUGGCGCACGGGUGCGUAACGCGUGGGAACCUGCCCUUUAGGUUCGGAAUAACUCCCCGAAAGGGGUGCUAAUACCGGAUAAUGUCUUCGGACCAAAGAUUUAUCGCCUUUGGAUGGGCCCGCGUUGGAUUAGCUAGUUGGUAGGGUAAAAGCCUACCAAGGCGACGAUCCAUAGCUGGUCUGAGAGGAUGAUCAGCCACACUGGGACUGAGACACGGCCCAGACUCCUACGGGAGGCAGCAGUGGGGAAUAUUGGACAAUGGGCGAAAGCCUGAUCCAGCAAUGCCGCGUGAGUGAUGAAGGCCUUAGGGUUGUAAAGCUCUUUUACCCGGGAUGAUAAUGACAGUACCGGGAGAAUAAGCUCCGGCUAACUCCGUG